UUUUUUCUCGAAAGUAAAAGAUCUAAUUUAAUUUAUUAGUUUUUGUGUCAAAAAAAUUAAGAAAAUUAAUUUAGGUAUGAAAUGUUUAUCGUUUUUACUAAUAUCUAGUAGCUUUAGAAAUAAAUUUAGUUUAGGUUUUUGGGAAUUUCUUUAGUAAAAAGAGAUUUUUAAUAAAGUUUUAUAUUUUAGGGGAUGAGCUCUAAAAUAAGGUUAAAAGAAAAUAAAUGGUUAAGUUUUUAGUAGGCUUAGAAUUGGUCAUUAGAUAGUGUUAUAAGAUAAAAAUUUAAGUUUAUGAUUUAUUUUUCUUUAAAGUUUAUAAAGCUAAAAAAGAAAUUGUAUUGUGAUUGAAAAUAUGAUAGUAUAAGUAGAUAAAAGAAGGAUUUAGAAAAAAAUUUAAAUUUUUCAUAGGAUAAGAAAGUAAGUUUUGUAAUAGAAGAACUCGGCAAAAAAGAUUUCCGAAUGUUUAACAAAAACAUUUCCUCUUGCAAAAAGGAGGUAAGACCUGCUCACUGAAAUUUAAAGAGCCGCAGUAUUCUGACUGUGCUAAGGUAGCAUAAUCAUUAGUCUUUUAAUUGGAGACUGGUAUGAAUGGUUAAACGAGAGAUCAACUUUUUUUAUUAUAUAGAUUGAAUUUAAUUUUUUAGUGAAAAAGCUAAAAUGAGUCAGAAAGACGAGAAGACCCUAUAGAGUUUUAUAUUUAAGGAAAUUUUUUCUUAAUGGAUUUUUUUGGAUAAAAUUUUUGAUAGUAUUUUGUUGGGGCGACAUUAAGAUAAAAAAAACUCUUUAUUCUUUAAACUUUUUUAAAAGAAUUGUUUGAUCCUUUAGAAAAGAUCAUAAGAAAAAAUUACCUUAGGGAUAACAGCGUAAUCUUUUUUGAGAGUUCUAAUCGACAAAAAGGUUUGCGACCUCGAUGUUGGACUAAAAUUUAGGCA
rnacentral:rRNA from 1 species